UUCUGAGCGAUCGUGGAAUUCCAAUAAGAAGCUCUUCGGCAGUGUAAGCGUGUACAUCAUUUUCUUAAGUUUCUGUAUCUACCCGACAAGAAAAAAAUCUCAAGAUGCCUUCUCCCUGUGGUGACGACAAAUGCAAAGACAAAUGCGGCGGAGACUGCAAAUGCGGAGAUAACUGCAAAUGCUGUGAUUCCGGAAGUGGAGAAAAAUGCAACUGCAAAAGUGGCGGACAGUGCACCUGCAAACAGGGCUCUUGCCAAUGUUAAGGAUUCCGAAUAGAAAAUAUGUCACCGCUGCAUCUAAAAUUUUUUCUUUUUUUAUUUUCUUUGUUCAAAAUAUUCUUUCACGAUGUCUUAGGUUUUUAAAAUUGUACACGGAUUAUCCAAUUUAUGUUACCUACUCGUAGGAUGAUUAUAAUACAUUAGUUAAUCUUA